rnacentral:misc_RNA from 1 species
AGGCAGAUGCCGGUAAAUGUUUAUAAUAACUGUAGUAAGACACGAAAUCGCGCAUCACUUUUUGUCGCCUAAAUCAAAGACUGCAUGGUCUAUUAUGCAAGUGGUCCAUUGGUAUUCCUACAUCUUAUAUAUAGGUCGGUACUCUCACAAUCCAAUUCUCCGUGCAGUAAGAAAAUUUCUAUUUUUUUUCUUAAAUCUUCUCUAAAUUUGUGUUCUAUUGAUGUUUUGUUUACAUGUUUGGUGAAAAUUACUAAAGGAAUACUAAAUGUUUUUCCGUGUAGGAUAGCGUGAUACUGCACGCGGGAUAUUGCCAGACCUUCGGAAAGCGUAAAUUCAAUAUCAUUUUUAAACAUUUAUGCAUAUGCAUGAGGAGGACCAGCAAUACAGCGCAUGAUGCCAGUCUGACCCAGUCAUGCUGAUGCAGAUAAAUUUUAGGAAUUAAACUACAGAAGCUAUAUAAUUAUUCCAUAUAUUUAAGAAUGCGAAGAUUGACAUUUUUUAUUGCCAAGGAUAAACUCUAUCUAAAAUUUUAAAAAAUGAAAUUACAGUAAACAUAUCUUGAAUAAUCGAAUAACCUGCAUUUGUUCUAAACGUAUAACAAUUCAAGCCGAAUAAAGCCCAUUCUCCACUGGGCAAAUUUAUUAGCGCGACGCGAAGCGAUAUCUCAAAUCCGGUGAUGUGGCUGGGUUGCCAAAAAAUUCGCCGCGAAAAAUUGGAAUCGGUUGCUUCCUACUUUUUAUCUGUUCGCGCGAAUAAAUUUGCCUGGUGAAAAACGGGCUUGCUUUCUACCGUCAAUUUACAGUAGAUAUUGAGACUAAUUUAACGAUAUUGAGCAUAUUUUCCCUUGGAUCGUGCGCAAGGAGUCAAAGCGAAACCAACUCGUGUCUUAGAAAACCCUAGGAAUGAGGUUGGUCUAAUUCCUAUUUUAGGCUAUCAGGAUACUGCAUGGGGCUUUCCGAAUGUACAAGUAAUUCAAUAUGAUAAUUAUAAAUGUAGUUCAAAUAUUUGUCUUGCUUAAGCAAGCCUUAAUUUUUUGUAAGUAUAAAGAACUAAUGUAAUUAAUAUUUUUGGAGCUAAUUAUUGCACUUAAUAUUUUUGGUCAAACAAGCAUCCACAAUUACAUUAACUUUUUUGCAAUCAAAAUUUCAUUAUACUAAAGUAAAUAUUUGCACCUCUUUUUAGGCAAGUAUUAAUUAUUAUUGAUAAUAGCGUGCGCUAUAACUUUCCAACUCUCUUCUCUUAGAACAGGUCCAUUCAGUGGAUUCGAUCGGGAAGAACUGAAAUCAUGAAUUGGUUAAUCUGCGUUGCUGCUCUUGUUGCUGCCUUCUGCAGCCACUCAGAAGCGAGGGCUAGGUGCACGCCUCCCAUACCGCGAGAAAAUGGCUACGUGCACGGGGAUUGGGGAAACCUUCAGGAGGGAUCGACGCUAGUGCUUAAGUGCAACAGGGGAUACAAGUUGAAGGGAAAAGAACAGGUAUUUUGCUACUCUGGACGUUGGAGUGGAACUCUUGGCACGUGUGAAGCAAGAGCAAGGUGCAAGUUUCCCGAGCAACGAAAAAAUGGACGCUUGCUUACGUAUUCGGCGAGUCAGGAGGACGGAUCGGGGAUAUGGCUUGAAUGUGAUGAAGGGCAUAAAAUGAAGGGCGCAGGACACGCAGUUUGCAGGGAUGGAAAGUGGAGUGCAACGCUUGGCACUUGUGAAGUUGUGACGUGCCAACCUCCAAGAACAAGCUGCCUGGCGAUCGCACACCCUCCCAACUGUUUCAGAGGACCAUCCCCAUACGACGCAUAUUGCAGGAUACUUUGUCCCCCAGGAUAUCGUGGCGCGGGGGGAUUGUAUUGCUCUAAGGAUGGCAAAUGGAUGGGGCGUAACGUCGAGUGUAAAGAUGUUGAGCCUCCCGUGAUCGAGUGCCCGCAACCGUAUAAGAUUACUGAACUUAAGACAGACCCAGGAAAGGCUACUACAGAAAUUCUUCUACCAACUCCAAGAUAUUCCGAUAACUCGCAGGAACAUGGUGGCAAAUUACAUUUCAGUGCAAUUCUGGAUGGUCAAUCUAUUUCUGUCGAGGAAGAACAUAGGUUGGGCAUAAUUAGAAAAGAACAUGAAGUGAACUAUUUGGUGAAAGAUGAGGCUGGUCACCAGGUCGUAUGCCGUUUCUAUUAUCGCGUAGUAGACGACGAGCCACCAAAGAUUAAAAACUGCCCAGAAGACAUCGUCAUGACAACGCGCAUGGGCGAAAAUCGUGUGCGCGUAUUUUGGAAAGAACCUCAGGUCACGGACAAUGCUGGAGAUGAUUCUGUUGAGUUUUUUUGUAGCAGGCCAAAUGGCGGCAUAUUUUUCACGGGAAAAUCUUUUAUUGUUUGUACUGCUACUGACCAGCGGCUGAACCAGGCCUUUUGCAAGUUCCGCGUGACCGUGAAAAUACCAUGCUUCGAUCAGUCAAACUUCAUAGCAGCACUACCUAUGGCAGCAUUACUUCCUGGCGUAACCAUCCCUGAUCCAAGUAACCCAUGCAGUGUCUUUGCGGCUAAUCCUCAAAUGUGUAACCAAAUAAUUGCACCAGGAGUUCCAGAUGAUUUCGUGUGGAAAAACAUUUGCAGGAAGACUUGCAAAGCUUGUUAAGCUUAUCAUACCACAACCUAGAAGUUUCUACUCUCAUCGCGUAUUUCCUGAGGCUAUUCCGCGAAUUCGUAGUUAUUUGUUGAUUAAGCACAGUUCUAUUCAGACGCUUUGCUGGAUUCGAUCAGGAAAAAAAAGUGAGAAAUCAUGAAUUGGUUAUUCUGUCUUGGUGUUUUUGUUGCAACCCUUUUCAGCCAUUCAGAAGCGAUGGUCAGAUGCAACUUUCCCGGACAUCCAAAAAAUGGCAACUUGGACGGAGAUUGGGUGAAUCGUCUGGAAGGAACGUCACUAAGGCUUGUAUGUGAUGAAGGAUACGAGUUAAAGGGAGUGGGGGAGGUCGUGUGCAAAAAUGGAAAGUGGAGUGCAACUCUUGGGACAUGCGAAGCUGUGAUGUGCCAACCGCCAAAGACAAGCCGCCUAUCAAUUUCUGAUCCACCAAGUUGUUUGACAGGACCAACCCCCUACGGUACACAUUGUAAGAUGUCUUGUCCCUCAGGAUAUCUUGACAGUGCGGUGUUGUAUUGUAAUAAAGAAGCGAAAUGGGAGGGGCGUGAUGUCGUGUGUAAAGAUAAUGAGGCACCUUUCAUUGAAUGCCCAAAACGAAGUGACGAGGUGACCGUACUGAAGACAGACCCAGGAAUUUCCACCACAACAAUUCGUCUGCCAACUUUAAAGUAUAGCGAUAACUCGCACAACACGGAGGAAGAUUGGACUUCAGCGUGACCCUGAAUGGUAAACCUAUUACCGUCCCAAAAGAAUUAAAACUGGGCAUAACACGUUUCCCA